UCAUCAAGACUAGAACAAUUGGAUUCACUAAGAAAGGAUCUUGAGAAUGAGAAUAAUAGUAUGUUAAUGGUUCUGGAAAAGUUUAAAGAAGAGGAGGUGAAACAAGUAGACUGUAUGUUGAAUAUAGAUUGCUGAAACAAUAGUAUGAGAAUAAUAUUAUUAUUGUUUUGUAUUUACUUAAUGAAAUCUCAUUUCUACAACAUUGUUAAUUCUUUUUUUUUAAUAUAGAUUGCUGAAACAAGUAGACUGUAUGCUUAAGAGAAAGAAGAGGAGGUGAAAUUAUAUGAGAUUUCUGUUGAAGAGCUGGAUUGUAUGGUGAUUGUCCUUGAAAACCAGGUUGACAUGGUCAAAGGAGAUGCUGAAAGGCAACGAUUGCAAAGGGAAGAGCUAGAACUAGAGUUUCAUGCUUUUAAACAACAAAUCAACCAAGUCAAAACUAGUGAUUAAGACAUAAAAAGAGCUUUGAAUGAAAAAGAGAAAAGUCUUCAAGAGUCCCUUCAGCGGGUUGAACUUCUUGAAAAAGAGAUUGCCAACAAAGAUAAAGUGGUGCAAGUUCUUCUCUUUUUUCUUGUAUCUGAUUAAAACCAUACGUAAGUUAACUAAUUUAACCUGUAUUUUUAUUCUUUUUUAAUUUUUUCUCAAAUUGUCCAACAUAAAGCUCACAUUUCCGAGCUUAAUCUGCAUGCUGAAGCUCAAGGUAGAGAAUACAAACAAACGGUAAACAAUAGUUAGAUUUUUUUUGAUUAAAUUCUUGAUAUUUUUUUACAAUCUUAACUUCAAAAAACAGUUUAAAGCAUUGGAGGCAAUGGUUGUUGCUGACCAAGUCAAAUCAAAUAUUUUUGUUUCCCACAUCUCAAAUUCACCAUCAAAGAAACUAGAAAAGAAUGGAUCAAGAACAAGAGGUUAUGGUUCCCCUUUUCAAUGCAUAAGAAUAGGAUUAACACAACAAAUAAAAUCUGAGAGAGAUUAAGAGCUUACUACUGCAAGAAAGCGAAUUGAAGAGCUUGAAGCAUUGGCUGCAAGUCGCCAAAAAGAGGCAUAAAUUUCAAAUCAUUUUAUAGAUAAAAUUUAUCUUUUUCUGAAAGAACAUCAUGUGAAACUUUCUGCAUUAAGUGAAGAAACACUCAUAUAUAGCUUACUGGAUUAAGGGAUUGUUUCUUUCUACUUAGUAUUUCUUACUGUUUGUGAACAAGCCUCUCAUCUCACAUUUGAGUUUAUAGGAAUCAACAAUCACUAUGAAACUUCUAGUGUUUAGA